CUCUCUCUCUCCAAUGCCAAAAGACAACCCUUCACCAGCAUAAUCAUGUCUCUUCUUCCUCUUCUUGUUCGAUCUCUGGUUAGGCUCUUGUUAUCGUUCGUCAAUCGUCCAGCGGCGACCAUCACAACCAUCCUUUACUAUGGCGAGCUCCUACCGCGCAACUUGAACUUGGAACGGAUGGUUCAGAGUGAUCUUCUCCACCACGAAAACUACCUCUUCAAUUUUCUCAUCAAUAUUAUGCGAUGCUUAUGAGUCUCGGAGGUCAUUUUCGUCAUGCAAAUGUAACCCAUGUUUUUCUUCCGUAGAGAGAGUGAGAGAACGAGGCAAAAUACAUCCACAUGUAGACAAGGAACUGGGUUGAUUUUGUUAUAUGGAAGCAAAAGAUGCUAAGAAUAACAACCGAUUCUCUGUAUAAUUGCACAGAGACUUGCAAAUGAGGAAAUGUAUGAUGCUCGUGGCCAGAUUUUA